rnacentral:rRNA from 1 species
AUUGAACGCUGGCGGCAUGCUUUACACAUGCAAGUCGGACGGCAGCACAGAGAAGCUUGCUUCGUGGGUGGCGAGUGGCGAACGGGUGAGUAAUAUAUCGGAACGUACCGAGUAAUGGGGGAUAACUAAUCGAAAGAUUAGCUAAUACCGCAUAUUCUCUGAGGAGGAAAGCAGGGGACCUUCGGGCCUUGCGUUAUUCGAGCGGCCGAUAUCUGAUUAGCUAGUUGGUGGGGUAAAGGCCUACCAAGGCGACGAUCAGUAGCGGGUGUGAGAGGGUGAUCCGCCACACUGAGACUGAGACACGGCCCAGACUCCGACGGGAGGGAGCAGUGGGGAAUUUUGGACAAUGGGCGCGAGCCUGAGCCAGCCAUGCCGCGUGUCUGAAGAAGGCCUUCGGGUUGUAAAGGACUUUUGUCAGGGAAGAAGAGGCUGUUGCUAAUACCGACAGCUGAUGACGGUACCUGAAGAAUAAGCACCGGCUAACUACGUG